ACUUUGUGCCUGGACAUGGAUUCCUCCUCAAUGUGUUCCAAAGGCCUUCUGGUCCCACUGGAAUACGUCAUACACAAUUCAGACCUGGAGGAAAGUUUGGAGGCCCCGACUCCCUUGACUUCCCUGCAUAGAGACUAUAUUACGGAGCAGACUCUGGAGGAGGGAUUGGAACUGUGUCCCUCUGGAAUAUACUUCUGCAACUCUGAGUUAGAGGAAUGGAGGAAGCCUUUGGUUCAAAUGCCAUAGCUCCCCACUGUCUUUAAUAAGAUCCCCUUGUCAUAAAACCAGUGCAUAAGAUACAACUACAUCCAAUGUAUUCCAGAGAAAGAUUCUCUGCAAAUGACUCAAGGAAAGCCACAGGAGCAACAGGGAAACUGAAAGAACCAAACGUUGAUUCAGAAGGGCAGCCCCACAUUUUUAAGUGAUACCCAACGAUUGUGAAUAAGCUCUGUCAACGCCAUCUGCUCCACAAAGGAAAGUUGCUGAUUAUCGCAUCUCUAAGUGGAGUCGGUUCUCUCCCACGACAGCAGAAGGCUUUAACAUUCACUAUACUCUUAUGGACAUGGAGGAUGGGAACCAUUGCUUUGUUUACUCUGUAACUUCUUAAUUAUAUCACAAAAGACUCGGCACAUAAGCAGUAUCCAGAAAAGCAAGUCGACUAAAUAAAAAUUAAUGCAUGAUUGUCUAUA